UCCAUCUCUUUAUUUAUUUAUUUAUUUAUUUAUUUAUUUAUUUAUUUAUUUGUUUGUUUAAUUUUAUUUUCCAUCUAAAUCUAUUCUCUUUGCAUGUAAGUGGAAGAAUCAUUUCCAAAGAUUCUUAUGAGUUUGUGCUAAGCAUGCUGGCCAUGCUAAGAUGAUGCUUUUUGCUCGGGGCCCAUGCCAGCACUCCGCCCACCAUCAAGCCGCCAAGCAUUCUUUUGGGAACCAUCUAUGAGAAAGGCUAUGUGCACCCUAAGGAACUGUGUAGCACUCGACAUAUCAGACUUGCACUGAAAUUACAAACACAAGCGAGAAAAUAGAACCAUCCUCAUGGAAAAAUACUAGUCCAUGAUAAUGUUAUGGAUUGGCUAAUUACUCUUGGGCCUUGAAGGAAAGCAGUGAAUCAUGCAGCUCUUCAAAUCCCUGCCAGGAAAAAGCAUCUAUGUGUUUAUCUAAAAUCAUUAGUUUUUAUAUCCUCUCAAGAUUUAUGCAUCCGGGUGGAUGACGUUUGUGGUCACAGGGUCACCUCCGCUGUCACACGUGAUGUGUGGGCAGUGACCAGGGACCUGACGCUGCAGGAAAAGCCUCUCCAAGACAAUGUAAGACCUGAGGACUUUCUCCGGUUCUGGACUGAAGGAAGAUGAGAGACCAAGGUUUUCUCAUCUGUAGAUAAAUCAGCUGCAAGAAGGACCCAGAACCACUUACUGGAACAUGGAGAGAAUAUGUCAAAUGACAUAGACUUGAUGGUAGUAAGUCUAAAGUGUGAGGAGAGUCUCGGGAAGUUAUUCAGGGGAACUGUGAUGUUGAAAACAGAUGCCUCAGGUUGCAUGUGGAAAACUCGGCUUUUAUCAACCAAGCAGGGAUGGAGGGUGCUGAGGGCUGAGCGUGAGGAAGCGCACCACACAAUCCCCCACCUAGUUGCAUAAAAUCAUGUCACAUACUUACUUACUCAUACAUUAAGUUAGCAAAUAAGUUUUGAGCAACUGCUAGAUCAGGGUUGCUGUUAGAGGUGCUGGAGCUAAUUUACUGAAUUUACAAUCUAGUUUAGAGGGACAAGAAAAGAACGUGGAAGAUGCUAUAAUGUAGGUAUUUAUAAAACAUUAUUGGAACCCAGAAAAAGAAGGGAUUGAUUCUGCAUGGGAGAGAUAUGGGGAGGAGUCACAAGAAGGUGAUAUCUGAGUCCUUCUAGGUUGAGAAGGUAGUAGAAGAUAUUUCAGGAAACAGAACUCAUUACCAAGGCUACGGAAAUAACUGAGCAUAUGGCACAUGUGAGAAGCUAUGAAUUUCUUGAAUGGCAUUCUGUUCCUGGGUAACAGGGGUAUUGAUUACAAAGGCAGAUGAAGGCUACAUUUCAUAGCCUUGUGUGACAUGCCGAUAGGGAGUUGCAGGCACUUCUGUAAGCAUGUUUCAACUCUGUAUAAAUCCACAAAACCUGUGAGACAGCUUCUAAGAGUUGGAGUUUUAAGCUGUGAGCUCUAGGCAGUCAUUGAAAGAUUAUAAUGGGAGAGAAACGUGAUCAGACAUGAGUUUAGAAAGGUCUCAUUGACUGUCUUAUAGAACCAGACUGCAGUGGAAGCAAAUGGAAACAGAAGGAUGAGAUUAAAAUGACCUUUAAUACAUAAUGGAUCUCAAUAGGCAUGUGAGAGACAACAGGACUGAGACAGGGCAGGAGUGGGGAGGCCACCCACCCCUAACCUUGUCCCCCUCCAUCUCUUUCCUUCCACCUUCUUCUCCACCUUUGACACCAUUCCCUGCCCCCUCCGUUGCCCACCACCUCCCCAUUUCCCCUUCCUUCAUCUGCUCUGUUCCUCCCUCUCCCUUCUCUUCAUCUCCUGCCUUGAUUCCUUUGUCUAUUUCCAUUGCUCUUAUUUCAACAUCUUCCUUUGUCUUCUACCCUUGUAUUCAGUAACAUCUUCUAAACUUCUUAUUCCUUUCAGAAGAUCUCCUUGAGUCCCCAUCAUACUAUAUUCAUCAUCUAAUUUUUAAUGCAUUCUUUUUUUAAUGUUUAUUUAUUUAUUUAUUUAUUUAUUUAUUUAUUUAUUUAGAGAGUACA